rnacentral:rRNA from 1 species
GUCCACGCCGUAAACGAUGAAUGCCAGCCGUUAGUGGGUUUACUCACUAGUGGCGCAGCUAACGCUUUAAGCAUUCCGCCUGGGGAGUACGGUCGCAAGAUUAAAACUCAAAGGAAUUGACGGGGGCCCGCACAAGCGGUGGAGCAUGUGGUUUAAUUCGACGCAACGCGCAGAACCUUACCAGCCCUUGACAUGUCCGGGACCGGUCGCAGAGAUGUGACCCUCUCUUCGGAGUCCGGAACACAGGUGCUGCAUGGCUGUCGU